rnacentral:rRNA from 1 species
UAGGUGGGGUAACGGCUCACCUAGGCGACGAUCCCUAGCUGGUCUGAGAGGAUGACCAGCCACACUGGAACUGAGACACGGUCCAGACUCCUACGGGAGGCAGCAGUGGGGAAUAUUGCACAAUGGGCGCAAGCCUGAUGCAGCCAUGCCGCGUGUAUGAAGAAGGCCUUCGGGUUGUAAAGUACUUUCAGCGGGGAGGAAGGGAGUAAAGUUAAUACCUUUGCUCAUUGACGUUACCCGCAGAAGAAGCACCGGCUAACUCCGUGCCAGCAGCCGCGGUAAUACGGAGGGUGCAAGCGUUAAUCGGAAUUACUGGGCGUAAAGCGCACGCAGGCGGUUUGUUAAGUCAGAUGUGAAAUCCCCGGGCUCAACCUGGGAACUGCAUCUGAUACUGGCAAGCUUGAGUCUCGUAGAGGGGGGUAGAAUUCCAGGUGUAGCGGUGAAAUGCGUAGAGAUCUGGAGGAAUACCGGUGGCGAAGGCGGCCCCCUGGACGAAGACUGACGCUCAGGUGCGAAAGCGUGGGGAGCAAACAGGAUU